UACAGAGGGUGCGAGCGUUUGUCCGGAAUCACUGGGCGUAAAGGGCGCGUAGGUGGUGGCUUAAGCGUGCGGUGAAAGCUCGGGGCUCAACUCCGAGUCGGCCGUGCGAACUGGGCUCACUGGAGCAUAGUAGAGGCAGGUGGAAUUCCGGGUGUAGCGGUGGAAUGCGUAGAGAUCCGGAGGAACACCGAUGGCGAAGGCAGGUCUCUGGGCCGAUACUGACGCUGAGGAGCGAAAGCGUGGGGAGCGAACAGG
rnacentral:rRNA from 1 species